GUAUGUGUCGUUUCAGUCUCUAAUAGGCUGGGGUUCCGCGUCAAUUGGUAUCAGAGCUAGGCUUAGUAAUAAUUUCUUAACUAUCCUUUGUGUCUUUUCUUCAAUUUUUCAUGAUCUUUCCGUUUGGGAUACCUACCAGAGUCGAAUACAUUGUUUAGUUGCUGUUCAAAUCGUAUUUUGCCCUAAAUUCUUGUUUAGGCAGAAUUAC
rnacentral:lncRNA from 1 species